rnacentral:misc_RNA from 1 species
UUAGUGGUUGCACUUUAGCUCUUAUUCAACAUCAAGUGACCAAAAGGUAUAAAUUAUCAUAAUUUUAUUGUACAAGUACUUGAUUGUAGUUGUUCUACAAAAGCGAAUUAAGUUCAACAUAAAAGUCUACAAACGCAUGCCCAUUUGAUAGAGUUUUUUUCUACUGAGAGUCUAAUACGUUUUAUCAUUAUUUAGCAAUUUAUGUUAGAAUAUGUGUAACAAUCCUAGAAUGAUGUAGGAGGAAGCAGUAAAAAAG